UCUCUCUCUUCUCUCUCUCUCUCUCUCUCUCUCUGGCGAUUCAAAUGGCGAUUCAAAAACCAGAUCUAACAAUCAUCAACGUUUCAUCUAACAAUCUUCAACGUUUCUUCUUAUUUCUCUAUGCAUUCUCAAUUGAUAUAUCGAAAUUAGGUAUAGAUGUGGUGCCAAAACUCGAUUUCAUUAUUUAAUUUCAUUCUUGCAGGACGUUAACGACGACAGGGCAUGGCUAGGGUUACAUCAGAACAUAUUCUUCAUCAUCUUCAUGGAGAUUCAGUGCUCUAAAAUGCUAUGAAGGAGACUCACCUUGAAAAUCUUAGAUACGGUUUGUUUCGAUUUGUAUUUCAGUUGUUUUUAAUGAAUCUACUUAUGUACAUCAUUUAAGGGUUGCCAAUGGUUUUAGGGUUAUUUCAGUUCUUUUUUACUUUCUUUACAAUGAUCUAUUCUUCUUUUCAACUUACAAAGGGUGGAAUCAUCGAGUAGAUAGAUUCUAGGGUUCUUAUUUGAAUUGGGGUUUAAAGAUUUAUGUUAAAAGGGUUUUGAAUGCAUACCAACUGUUUGUGAAAUUCUUUGUGUGAAGAUUUUGCACAUGUUCUUGUAGUUUAAGUUUAUCCAAUCCUGUAAAACAAGUUGACUAGAAAUUUGUUUGGAUGUUUGUAUACAAGAUACAUGGUUUUUUGCAGGAAGUUAGUGGUAAAUCUUCUAUGUUAGUUAAUCAUUAAUCAUUCAUAUUUAAUUAUUAAUACCAAGUGUAUAAGUUCGUUUAUGCUUAUUUUGUAUAAUCCUCAUGAAAUUUCUCAUUUUUUGCUUAUAUAUAUCUUGCUUGAAGCUUAAUAUUUGAUUUUCUGUCAUAUCUACUAUGAAACUUGAAGUGGUUCUCGAUAGUUUGAAUUCCGAAAAUGUGAUGACCAUGGAUGAUGUAUAUGCUUAUUAGUGGAUUAUUAUCAAACUAGAGGCGCUUAUAUUGGCAAAAAUUUAACAAGAAAUGGAAAUCGCUGAUUUGGAUUAUUAUCAAACUGGAGGCGCUUGCUUGAAGGAUACCUGAUUAGAGCUGCUCAAUGGAGCAACUGGAUAACCAGAUGUGCUGGAUAACCAGUCGAUCUCUACACAAUUUCAACAAGGUUGUGCAGAGAAUGAUAAGUGAGCUUGAAUCGCAAGGGGUGCUUCCGACUAGCAUUUUGAGGGUUUCAUCGUUGGCUACGUGUUGCGGACCAAGAUGGAGUGCAAGAUUGCUCUACAAAAGGAACUAGGUCUUCCAAUCUGGCCAGAUUGUCUAUUGAUUGGAUUUAUUGGAAGACUGGACUACCAAAAGGGAAUUAAUAUGCGGCUCCAGCCUUGCUGCAAGAUGAUGUUCAAUUUGUUAUGCUUGGAUCUGGAGAGAGACAAUAUGAAGAGUGGACGAGAGCAACUGAAGCAGGGUAACUAAAUGAUGGAUUGUAUUAUGUGUUUUUGGAAAUGUAGCUGGUUUAUUCAAGAAAGGAGCUCUAAGAUACUUAUUUUGAUAUUGAGUGACAUGCCUAACAAUAAUAUGGUCCAACUGCAAAUGGAGAACGCAUAAAGAAGAAAACCACCUUAAGUGAUGAUGUUUUGAAAGGAUUAGUGGAGUGGCUUUGUAUUCAGGUGUGUUUUGUAAUUGAAUGUAGAAACUCUUUUAUGUUGUAACUUAUUCCUCAGGUUGUCCCUUUUUAAUAAUUUAUUUAAAAUAUAUUUGUGCCCACUUAAUUUGUACCGAGAGGGUGCGCUUUGGAAGAAACACAUUACGACUAUUCACAUGGUGUAAAAUCAUAGCGAUGGUCAUCGCUGUUCAUAACAAACCCGAAGGGUUAGCUGUUAGUAUGGUUCUUGCAUCAAGGGGAGUUUCUCCACAAAAUGCUAUGUUAUGGAGCGUAAUUACAUCUUUGCCCCAGCCCAUUGUAGCAGUACCCUUCUUUUAUAUGUGCUGAUGCCUUUAACAAACUGCUGCCUUUCUGUACGGGCUUUGCAGCAGGGUGUAUGAUCUGGAUGGUUGUUGCUGAGGUUCUCCGGAUCCUUUGAAGAUCGCUGAUGUAAUUUUCGCACUUGGAUCUUUUGUGUUCGCAGCUGCACCCGAUCCGUACAUGCUUAUAUUCGGUCGUUUAUUAGUCGGCUGGGUGUCGAAAAAGCUAAGUGUCAUUCUCGCCCCUUUUCUAAUCGGAACACGUUAUACUUCCUUUGGGCGACAUUUUACAAAAGUAGAUAAGCUUAAAGAGUCAUUUUACUUACCUGGAUCGGUGGACAAACAAGACCAGCCAUUGGAUGCUCAUAACUAAUUAAGAUGGUUAAAACGACUGAUAAAAACCGAAGCGACUGUUUUGUAGGAGGCGUUCUCACUAUGCGAUUCCAGUGUUGUUCAGUUUUGAGAAGGAACUUGCGGCAGAAUCUCUUAGAAGAAAAGAAAAUGAAAUGCAAAAAGCUCUUGAUGACUUGACAAAUCCAGAUACUAAUUCUGAUAUACAGCUUUUUAUUGAGUCGCGAAAGAAGAAGAGAGCACGUAGAGCUUUGGAUGCUACUGUUGAAAGUGUUGUUACCUUAGGGUUCCCUAGAGAAGCAGGUACUGUAAAAGUUGGGUCUUUAACAAUUUUGAUAAUACACAUAACCUGCUAGGUUUGUUUCAAUUGAUAAUCUUUUCAUCUUUCGUGGGUGGGUUUGAAAACAGUGGUUGAACCCACUGUUGUAAUCAAAUUGGGCUUGGAGAAACAGUAGUUGAAACCACUGUUGGGUAAUAUUUUAUUGGGUUUAUUAGGUUAAAACAGUGUUUUAU